rnacentral:ncRNA from 2 species
UCUCCCCGGCCCGUAUCAGGUGCCUGCCGCAUUCCGAGGAAUUGCUGGGUGGGUUAAAUGGGAAGCGUGCGACAGCGAUGUCGACACCACUGCCCCCGCAACGGUAUGCCGUCACUGACGGACAGUCCGACACCUGCCUGAUGCACUCACCGAUG